GCCUACUGCUACCGUUAUCAAGUUUCCUGCUGGAGUGGGGCUGUUGAUUCUUGUCUAGCCCAUGAGGACAAAUACGUCAAUUCACCACAAGUGAAAAUUAGAUCAACAGACAGGGACCUUCUCUUGGGAAUAUUCCAUAUGAGAAUAACAAGAAAAAAAUGCUGUAUGUAAAGCUUCGUUGUGAGGAUCCUGCCAUGCUGGAGCACGUUGAGCAGCUGCUGUCUGAGUUGAGGCCGGCCGGGGACGCUGCUGCUGCUGACGAUGACGAUGACGAUGAUGAAGAUGGCCCUUCUAUUGAUGACAUUGGGGACAACUUCAUCCACAGUAGUGAUGAGGACGAGGAUGCCAUGGAACAUUAGGAGGAAUGUUUUUUUUCUUUUUUCCAAACCUUCAAUG